AGUGAACGCUGGCGGUAGGCCUAACACAUGCAAGUCGAACGGCAGCACAGUAAGAGCUUGCUCCUACGGGUGGCGAGGGGCGGACGGGUGAGGAAUACAUCGGAAUCUACUUUGUCGGGGGGGAGAACGGAGGGAAACUGACGCUAAUACCGCAUACGACCUACGGGUGAAAGCAGGAGAUCUUCGGACCUUGCGCGAUUGAAUGAGCCGAUGUCGGAUUAGCUAGUUGGCGGGGUAAAGGCCCACCAAGGCGACGAUCCGUAGCGGGUCUGAGAGGAUGAUCCGCCCCAAUGGAACUGAGACACGGUCCAGACUCCUACGGGAGGCAGCAGUGGGGAAUAUUGGACAAUGGGCGCAAGCCUGAUCCAGCCAUACCGCGUGGGUGAAGAAGGCCUUCGGGUUGUAAAGCCCUUUUGUUGGGAAAGAAACGCAGCAGGUUAAUACCCCGCUGUUCUGACGGUACCCAAAGAAUAAGCACCGGCUAACUUCGUG
rnacentral:rRNA from 1 species